GAUGAACGCUGGCGGCGUGCCUAAUACAUGCAAGUCGAGCGAAUGGAUUGAGAGCUUGCUCUCAAGAAGUUAGCGGCGGACGGGUGAGUAACACGUGGGUAACCUGCCCAUAAGACUGGGAUAACUCCGGGAAACCGGGGCUAAUACCGGAUAAUAUUUUGAACUGCAUGGUUCGAAAUUGAAAGGCGGCUUCGGCUGUCACUUAUGGAUGGACCCGCGUCGCAUUAGCUAGUUGGUGAGGUAACGGCUCACCAAGGCAACGAUGCGUAGCCGACCUGAGAGGGUGAUCGGCCACACUGGGACUGAGACACGGCCCAGACUCCUACGGGAGGCAGCAGUAGGGAAUCUUCCGCAAUGGACGAAAGUCUGACGGAGCAACGCCGCGUGAGUGAUGAAGGCUUUCGGGUCGUAAAACUCUGUUGUUAGGGAAGAACAAGUGCUAGUUGAAUAAGCUGGCACCUUGACGGUACCUAACCAGAAAGCC
rnacentral:rRNA from 1 species